rnacentral:lncRNA from 1 species
UCAAAGUGUUCAGAUUUUCAUGAACUACUCGGUACAAUCAUUCGAUUCGGCUAGAUUCUCUAUAGCAGCUUGUGGAAGGAUUACUUAACAUUCAGUUAUUCAUGAGCAUUUAUAUCAACCUCGUUCCUAUCUAUUGUUUGCCUCAAUGUGGAAAAAUUGUUCAUUGAAUUGAUGUUACUAAUUACGUCAUUAAGGACUAAUCGUACAAGGAUGAAUGGUGAAAAAUACCAAACCGAUUAGAAAAAGACU